GAAUUUACGUCGGCGGUGUAGUGGUAGCACGCAUCUCCGGUAUGGAUGAAACGCGGGUUCAACUCCCGCUUAGGUCG